AAGCUCCUUUUUGCCACUGAUGAAUUAGUUGAUGCAUGUGGAGAUUUUCAAUACUAGGAGAACCAAGUUUAAAUAUGUGCAAUUCCAUCUAUCUAGCAUCAAUGUCGGGUGAGGUUAGACUACAAGAAAGACUAGAUAUUAAGCUUGUCCAUUCUGUCUACACCUUUUGAAUCUGAAGUGACUACUGUUGUAAAUAAUGCUACUUGAGUACCUGGUUGAUUGGUUUUGUUAUUGUGGCAUUGAGUAGCCUAGUACAUUAGUGGUGUCAGCUAUAUUUUGUAAGUUUGUUAUCGAUUCCAUUUGGGUAUAUGUGUGUGUGAUUGAAAAAUAAUGGUUUAGAUAUGAAUUGCUACAGUUUUAUAUAAUACUCUUUGAUCUAUGCUGCUAGGUCUGCCGCUGCGUGCAUGACAACAUGAGGUGCCGCAAUCGGCGUGGUAUGCUGGUGGAUGAUGGCGACAGUUAGAUGGUUGGCAAGGAUUAUGAGAGGUCGGCGAGCAGCACUCCUUCCUCUGUUCCCUGUGGAGAAGAUGACCUGCAGCUCAUUGACUGUUGAGUUCCCUCGAGUCUCUCUUUCUUCCGGCAAGCACAAAAACACAAUAACAGUUGGGAGGGUUGCUUUGUAUCCCUAGACCCACACCCACACCCGACCACCAUCUCCCAUUUUCCUCAGUAUCACGACCUGUUGCGACGUUGGCAGCGCAAUCAGUCGGAGGAGGCCAGCGGUGGCGAUGAUGGCAAUGCGAUGGGGAAAGGUUGCUCGUCGUCGUGGCACCAGCAAUUCCACGAUCGCAUAAUACCCGCAUGUUGAUGACCUCCAGGCUCUCCGGCCUCCUCCCUCCAGGCGUACUAUUGUUCAAGAUAGUGUGUGUGACAUAUGUGGGAAUGGGGAGGAAGAUGAAUAUCAUGUUGUUAUAUCAUGCACAAAAAGUAAGGCGUUGAGAUUUGCCAUGAGGAAAGAGUGGAGGCUUCCAGAAGAAAAGGAGUUCUGGUACACUGGAACAGACUGGCUACAAAUCCUACUGGACAAGUAUGAUUCAGAGAUAAGAAAGAAAAAUAUGUUGUUGUUAUGGAGAGCCUGGUUUCUACGAGAUAACUGUAUCCACAGUGAUGGCAAAGAAACCAUUUCGAGAUCGGUGAUGUUCCUUGUGCAGUAUGAGGAGGAAAUCAGGAAUUUGUCGCUAUCUGUUGUUGGACAGGGAAACAAGAGUUGCUGGUCCCUGUCUGCAUCUAUGCAGACACACCACACCUAGGAAUCAUCCGAACGCCGAGCCAAAUGCCCAGUGGAAAGAGCCGCCUGAAGGUGUUGUAAAACUGAACACUGACGCUGCCUUUUUGUCAGGCACGGGCCAAGCCUAGGCUGGCGGGAUCGCACGGGAUCAUACGGGGCAUGUUGUCUUCUCGGCGAGUAAAUCGAUGAAUAAAUGCAUAUCAGUUGAAGAGGCAGAGGGGCAAGCUAUCCUGAUGGGUCUGGUAUCGCUGUCGAGACUGUACCAAGGCCCACUGAUCAUUGAGACUGACAUCAAAAUGAUUGCAAAUGAAUUGGGACAAGCCAGAUCAAGCCGAUCGGAUUGUUUUCUAGGUUGUUAGUGAG